AAUGUACUCCCUCCGUCCGGAAAUACUUGUCUUUGAAAUGGUUGUAUCUAGACUUAUUUUAGUUAUAGAUACAUCCAUUUUAUUCAUUUUUAGGACAAGUAUUCCCGGACGGAGGGAGUAUAUU
rfam:Triticum aestivum genome assembly, contig: Triticum_aestivum_CS42_TGACv1_scaffold_032977_1BL